ensembl:snRNA U2 U2 spliceosomal RNA
AUCGCUUCUCGGCCUUUUUGGCUAAGAUCAAGUGUAGUAUCUGUUUCUUAAUCAGUUUAAUAUCUGAUACGUCCCUAUCUGGGGACCCAUAUAUUAAAUGGAUUUUUGGAACAGGGAGAUGGAAGAAGAGCUUGCUCUGUCCACUCCACGCAUCGACCUGGUAUUGCAGUACCUCCAGGACCGGUGCACCUCUC